rnacentral:rRNA from 1 species
GACGAACGCUGGCGGCGUGCUUAACACAUGCAAGUCGAACGGAAAGGCCCUGCUUUUGCGGGGUGCUCGAGUGGCGAACGGGUGAGUAACACGUGAGUAACCUGCCCUUGACUUUGGGAUAACUUCAGGAAACUGGGGCUAAUACCGGAUAGGAGCUCCUGCUGCAUGGUGGGGGUUGGAAAGUUUCGGCGGUUGGGGAUGGACUCGCGGCUUAUCAGCUUGUUGGUGGGGUAGUGGCUUACCAAGGCUUUGACGGGUAGCCGGCCUGAGAGGGUGACCGACCACAUUGGGACUGAGAUACGGCCCAGACUCCUACGGGAGGCAGCAGUGGGGAAUAUUGCACAAUGGGCGGAAGCCUGUUGCAGCAACGCCGCGUGCGGGAUGACGGCCUUCGGGUUGUAAACCGCUUUCGCCUGUGACGAAGCGUGAGUGACGGUAAUGGGUAAAGAAGCACCGGCUAACUACGUG